UUUAGGAAUGUUCUGUGUUUUGUGUUUUGUGGAAUGGUUCAGGGAAAAGUCUUUGGUGAGGAGGAUAAGAAUAGAAAAAGGAAGGUUUUAUGGUCCGGAAUAUUAUAUUGCAAGACCUCGUCUGACCAUAAUUGGUGAAUGUGUUUAUAUAACAGAUACAAGAAACAAUAUUUACGAAAUACCUGGACAUAUUGAAGAGGAAACAUCUGAAGAUGAUGAAAUCCGGGGAUUAAAAGAUAAUCCAAAAUAUUUACUCC